GAUGAAGAACGUAGCGAAAUGCGAUAAGUAGUGUGAAUUGCAGAAUUCAGUGAAUCAUCGAAUCUUUGAACGAACAUUGCGCCCCUUGGUAUUCCAUGGGGCAUGCCUGUUCGAGCGUCAUUUGUACCCUCAAGCUUUGCUUGGUGUUGGGUGUUUGUCCCGCGUUGCGCGUGGACUCGCCUUAAAGCGAUUGGCAGCCGGCAUAUUGGCCUUGGAGCGCAGCACAUUUUGCGCUUCUAGUCAUGAAUGUUGGCGUCCAUUAAGCCUAUACAUUUGCUCUUGACCUCGGAUCAGGUAGGGAUACCCGCUGAACUUAAGCAUAUCAAUAAGCAGAGGA
rnacentral:misc_RNA from 1 species